GAUGAACGCUGGCGGCGUGCCUAAUACAUGCAAGUCGAGCGAACAGACGAGGAGCUUGCUCCUCUUACGUUAGCGGCGGACGGGUGAGUAACACGUGGAUAACCUACCUAUAAGACUGGGAUAACUUCGGGAAACCGGAGCUAAUACCGGAUAAUAUAUUGAACCGCAUGGUUCAAUAGUGAAAGACGGUUUUGCUGUCACUUAUAGAUGGAUCCGCGCCGCAUUAGCUAGUUGGUAAGGUAACGGCUUACCAAGGCAACGAUGCGUAGCCGACCUGAGAGGGUGAUCGGCCACACUGGAACUGAGACACGGUCCAGACUCCUACGGGAGGCAGCAGUAGGGAAUCUUCCGCAAAGGGCGAAAGCCUGACGGAGCAACGCCGCGUGAGUGAUGAAGGUCUUCGGAUCGUAAAACUCUGUUAUUAGGGAAGAACAAAUGUGUAAGUAACUAUGCACGUCUUGACGGUACCUAAUCAGAAAGCCACGGCUAACUACGUG
rnacentral:rRNA from 1 species